UGUCGUCAGCUCGUGUUGUGAAAUGUUGGGUUAAGUCCCGCAACGAGCGCAACCCUUAUCCUUUGUUGCCAGCGGUCCGGCCGGGAACUCAAAGGAGACUGCCAGUGAUAAACUGGAGGAAGGUGGGGAUGACGUCAAGUCAUCAUGGCCCUUACGACCAGGGCUACACACGUGCUACAAUGGCGCAUACAAAGAGAAGCGACCUCGCGAGAGCAAGCGGACCUCAUAAAGUGCGUCGUAGUCCGGAUUGGAGUCUGCAACUCGACUCCAUGAAGUCGGAA
rnacentral:rRNA from 1 species